UAAGGAAUAUUGGUCAAUGGACGCAAGUCUGAACCAGCUAUGCCGCGUGAAGGAUUAAGGUCCUCUGGAUUGUAAACUUCUUUUAUCUGGGACGAAAAAAGGUUUUUCUAAGCCUCUUGACGGUACCAGAUGAAUAAGCACCGGCUAACUCCGUGCCAGCAGCCGCGGUAAUACGGAGGGUGCAAGCGUUAUCCGGAUUCACUGGGUUUAAAGGGUGCGUAGGCGGGCAGGUAAGUCAGUGGUGAAAUCCUGGAGCUCAACUCCAGAACUGCCAUUGAUACUAUCUGUCUUGAAUAUUGUGGAGGUAAGCGGAAUAUGUCAUGUAGCGGUGAAAUGCUUAGAUAUGACAUAGAACACCCAUUGCGAAGGCAGCUUACUACGCAUAUAUUGACGCUGAGGCACGAAAGCGUGGGGAUCAAACAGG
rnacentral:rRNA from 1 species